rnacentral:rRNA from 1 species
UGGGGAAUAUUGGACAAUGGGCGAAAGCCUGAUCCAGCCAUGCCGCGUGUGUGAAGAAGGUCUUCGGAUUGUAAAGCACUUUAAGUUGGGAGGAAGGGCAUUAACCUAAUACGUUAGUGUUUUGACGUUACCGACAGAAUAAGCACCGGCUAACUCUGUGCCAGCAGCCGCGGUAAUACAGAGGGUGCAAGCGUUAAUCGGAAUUACUGGGCGUAAAGCGCGCGUAGGUGGUUUGUUAAGUUGGAUGUGAAAUCCCCGGGCUCAACCUGGGAACUGCAUUCAAAACUGACUGACUAGAGUAUGGUAGAGGGUGGUGGAAUUUCC